rnacentral:rRNA from 1 species
UACGUAGGUGGCAAGCGUUGUCCGGAUUUAUUGGGUUUAAAGGGUGCGUAGGCGGUUCUAUAAGUCAGUGGUGAAAUCCGGCAGCUCAACUGUCGAUGUGCCAUUGAUACUGCAGAACUUGAGUACAGACGAGGUAGGCGGAAUUGACGGUGUAGCGGUGAAAUGCUUAGAUAUCGUCAAGAACACCGAUAGCGAAGGCAGCUUACUAGACUGUAACUGACGCUGAUGCACGAAAGCCAGGGGAGCGAACGGG